rnacentral:lncRNA from 1 species
AAUAACAUCUUUUGUUUUGAAGCAUAAGCAGUCAUGUGAUCCAAGGCUCCUAGGAGGCUCUUAUACUCAAUGAAGUGGCCAUAUGAAGAUGAAAGCAAGCAUGACAAUAAUAUGUAUAUUUUUUUCUCAUCUCCCCAAUCUUGUUUGCACAAAUAUUUUCACAAAUACCAACCUACAAUACACUUUGAAAAAAGAGCUCCCUUAUAGUACUAAGGAUGUUUUGGGUGCUUAAAACCUUCCCAUUGCAUAACCAACCCC